CCAAGCCCACAGCCCUACCUAUUCCCACCAGGGAGGAAAUGAGGCACUUCCCCUGCUGAGAUGGAUGCAUGAAGACCAUCGUGGUGCACAGGCCGAGGGGUUAGACCCGCUGCCCAUGGAGACCAAUGCUCACUACUGAAGCCGAUCUUGCCCCGUCCCUUCACCAUGCAAGUAAAGCACUGUUCCAUCCAGUGCCUGUGUGAGUCGUGUCUUUUUUGGCAGGCCCAGUAUGUGCAAGCCGGACAGGGGGCUGACGUCCUGGGACUGCUGCUCUUGCUGGUAGGAUCUUCCAGCAAAGGGCCUCUUCCCCUUGGAGCAGAACAGAUGUCAUCUACUUGGCAGUAAUGACAAGACUCCAGCUUUGUUUGAAUUGCCGUGCAAGACUGAUUGUUCAGUUAAGUGGUUGUCGGCCUUGGCCAACUCCUAUUCCUCCGCAAGUGCCCAGAGCUGGCAACGCCCCUGGGGAUGAAGACAGCUGGCUCUCAAGGUGCCUGGUUCCCCUCUUAGGAAUGGCACAUCACUCAGCCCUCAUGGCUCCCAUGGCCCUCUACCACCAUUCAAAAUACAAUCUCUGUGGUGUAUGCCUUUGUUGUAGGGGAGGACAGUGCCAUGCCUAUGGGAUGUGCUGGAAGGCAGAAGUGUCCCCCCAUCACUUUCUGAGGCUUCACUUCUGGGACAAAACCGCCUGUUUUCUUAUUAAAAUAAAUAAAUAUAUGAUCCACAUCUCUUCAUA